CUACGGGCUGCAGCAGUGGGGAAUAUUGGACAAUGGGGGAAACCCUGAUCCAGCAAUGCCGCGUGUGUGAAGAAGGCCUGCGGGUUGUAAAGCACUUUCGGUUGGGAGGACUGCUUCUAGCACUAAUAUUGUUGGAAGUUGACGUUACCUUCAGAAGAAGCACCGGCUAACUCCGUGCCAGCAGCCGCGGUAAUACGGAGGGUGCAAGCGUUAAUCGGAAUUACUGGGCGUAAAGCGCGCGUAGGCGGCUAGAUCAGUCGGGUGUGAAAGCCCCGGGCUUAACCUGGGAACUGCAUCCGAUACUGUCUAGCUUGAGUACAGGAGAGGAGAGUGGAAUUCCACAUGUAGCGGUGAUAUGCGUAGAUAUGUGGAGGAACACCAAUGGCGAAGGCAGCUCUCUGGCCUGAUACUGACGCUGGGGUGCGAAAGCGUGGGGAGCAAACAGGAUUAGAUACCCUCGUAGUC
rnacentral:rRNA from 1 species